rnacentral:rRNA from 1 species
GAUGAACGCUGGCGGCGUGCCUAAUACAUGCCAGUCGAGCGAACGGACGAGAAGCUUGCUUCUCUGAUGUUAGCGGCGGACGGGUGAGUAACACGUGGAUAACCUACCUAUAAGACUGGGAUAACUUCGGGAAACCGGAGCUAAUACCGGAUAAUAUUUUUAACCGCAUGGUUCAAAAGUGAAAGACGGUCUUGCUUUCACUUAUAGAUGUAUCCGCGCUGCAUUAGCUAGUUGGUAAGGUAACGGCUUACCAAGGCAACGAUGCAUAGCCGACCUGAGAGGGUGAUCGGCCACACUGGAACUGAGACACGGUCCAGACUCCUACGGGAGGCAGCAGUAGGGAAUCUUCCGCAAUGAGCGAAAGCCUGACGGAGCAACGCCGCGUGAGUGAUGAAGGUCUUCGGAUCGUAAAACUCUGUUAUUAGGGAAGAACAUAUGUGUAAGUAACUGUGCACAUCUUGACGGUACCUAAUCAGAAAGCCACGGCUAACUACGUG